UACAGAGGUCUCAAGCGUUGUUCGGAUUCAUUGGGCGUAAAGGGUGCGUAGGUGGCGGGGCAAGUCAGGUGUGAAAUCUCGGGGCUCAACCCCGAAACUGCACUUGAUACUGCCUUGCUCGAGUACUGGAGAGGAGACUGGAAUUUACGGUGUAGCAGUGAAAUGCGUAGAUAUCGUAAGGAAGACCGUGGCGAAGCGAGUCUCUGGACAGUUACUGACACUGAGGCACGAAGGCCAGGGGAGCAAACGGG
rnacentral:rRNA from 1 species